rnacentral:rRNA from 1 species
UACGUAGGGACCGAGCGUUGUCCGGAAUCAUUGGGCGUAAAGAGCGUGUAGGCGGCCACUUAAGUCCUGCGUGAAAUCUUGCGGCUCAACCGCAAGCGGUCGUGGGAAACUGGGUGGCUAGAGUGCGGGAGAGGAGAGUGGAAUUCCACGUGUAGCGGUGAAAUGCGUAGAGAUGUGGAGGAACACCAGUGGCGAAGGCGACUUUCUGGACCGUAACUGACGCUGAGGCGCGAAAGCGUGGGGAGCAAACAGG